CCGGCCCCAUGUCUGCCCGCAUGCUGCCAUGCUGCCCACUGUGAUGAUAAUGGAUGAAGCCUCUGAACCUGCAGCCCUUACUGCAGGAGCAGUUUGGAUGAUGCUGUACAUCUCCGCCGGCACCAUAUUCUCAGAAUAUCCCAGAGACACAGGACAAGCCCUGCCUCUAUCCCCUGUGUCAGGGAUGAACCUAGGGCCUUACCUGCCAGGCCCUGCUCUACCAAUGACUAUAUCUUCAACCCUCAUUUCUGUGGAAAACCUGGUGAUUGGCAGGAAGCUGUGGGCUCUGCCUGUGCACAUGCUGUGCUGAUGAGCAAAGGGAGAAGGAUCAGCAAGCAGCCAGCAGGAUUCAGGAGGAAGAUGACUAUCAGCUGCAGGGGUUGGUGACAUUUCGAUGCUCCUCUCUUGGACUCCCCUUUACAAAGCUCUCCUGCCAGCAGUCCAGGGGCAGCUUUCCCUCCACAUCCCCAUUUCCCAUGUAAUAACAUUUAAUUGUCUGCCUUUCAAAGACUCAAGCCCUUAACAGCCAACGUUUGCUGUUCAUACAGGCACACUGGGAGUCAGCCAUGGGAGCGCAGUCUCCUUGUGUUGACUUCCUCUUUCUCUCUGUCCAGAUGUGUUUAAAGAAAACCUGGCUGGAUUUUCUUGCCAUGUGGGAAUAUG
ensembl:antisense Gm15345 predicted gene 15345